rnacentral:snoRNA from 1 species
CAAUAAGAAAUUCCUGCCGACUGAGUUCCUUUCCUCAUGGGGGCCCAGUGUGCAAUGGCUGCAAACAGCAGCUUCCCUGGUAGUGAUGCAGCCUGUUUGUUGUAUGGGUUGCUCUAAGGGACCUUGGAGACAGAC